rnacentral:lncRNA from 1 species
AAUGUUGUAGAUGUAAGAAAAUGAUGUAAGUUUGCCCCCACCAAAUUCCAAGAUCCGAGCUAUUGAACCUUGGAAAUAUGAAGACUUGAUUUAUCUUAUGUAUUUGUUUUAUAAUGGUCUUCACUAGUUCAUAUGUUACAACUAUAUUCAGAGCUACACAUGACUCUCUUGAAUCAUUUAAUGAAUUUUUAUGGCUUGCAGAAAUUUCGGAAUAGAUACUAGGUUGGUUGAGCUCUCUUCGAUUUGUGGACUUACUAAUAUCUCUGUUCUGUUGAUUUUUGUUCAGGACGAGAAGAUUAAUCCUAUCAAUGGGCACAAAGAAAAGGGAAGACUGGAAAGGCAGGAGCAUGAAGGUGAUCUAAGCAUAUCCUUGAUUUAACAUUAUGAUGUAUUGUCAUAUUUUUGUGUUAAAAAAAUUUUCCUUCCUAUGAACCUUUGAAACUUUACGUACGAUUUUUGCCUUACUGGGCUUUUAUUAUCAUGUGAGUAGAAACGCCAUUCGGUACUAGAGGCUUUAAAACACGAUAAGUCCAGUUAAAUAGAUUAUAUAUUCGUUCAUAUAGUUAACUUUAAUUGGACUUACCCUUUAAUGCCAACUAAACUAAAAUAAAUUAAACUAGUGUUUUAGCACCAAUAGUGCUCGAUAGCAUUAUUCUUAACUUGUAUUUUACUUUUUUUAUUUUUUGAUGAUCAGUAGAUGUUGCUCAAGACGCAGUUGGUUCACAUCAAAAUACCAAGGAAUCUUCAGCUUCAAAAUAAUGCAGACUAUCUCAAAGAAGAAAGAAUCAUACCAUACAGCUGAAUUGUCUGCGACAUUGAAUUUAUCACCUUUCCUUUUUAUUUCAUCCGAAGAAAUCUUUAUUGCUCUUUCUGUCUAGCUUGGGAAAAGUUUAAUUGUCGAUAAUGUCAAUAUAAGAAUCAAGUUUUUCUUCUCUCAAUCUGGCCAUACAAAACUUUUCGAACACCGACCUUAAAGCUUCAACUAUCUUGACCUUAAAGCUUCAACUAUCUUUCUGCUUGAUAUUUUCAAAAGCUUUUUUCCUCAAAUUUUGCUUUUGCUCUUAAAAGACUGGCCUGUUGUGGCCGUAAAGCUUUAUUAAGGCAAGAUUGUUUUGCAUUUUGGCCUUUCUUUUUUAUAAUGGGUUUGUAUCUUGGCCAUUCUUUCCACUUCCUCUACAUUGCAUAACCGUUCGAGAUUCCUACCGUGCACUUCAAUUUUGUCUGCUGUAAUUUCCAUCUCUUGAAAUCAUCAUUCAAUUCCUUUGCAUAGUUCCUAGGAGGAUUGUUGUGUAUCGCAUUGACAAAAUGAACCUAACAUCAUUAGCAAAUUCCUCUGCAUCAAAGUAUGUAUUGUCCUCUAGUAUACGCUUUCUCGUUCCUAAAUUCAUUAGUUCAAUAGUUAUUGGAAUCAGCAGUAGAUCAAUUGGCUGAUUUAGAGAAGAUUCGUGAAGGUUCCCAUCAAUGAUCUCAAAAUGCUACUACAUUGCUGCUUGAAACUUCAAUCCAUCCUAUGCUUCUUUUAUCCCCUUUGACGCUCAAGGAUCACACAACCUUACGCUUCUUGGAGUUACUUGACUAGGAAAAUUUGACUAAAUUAGAUUUUUUAUUUGCAUUAACUCCAUCUGUGCAUUCAUUUUUUUAUUAUCAUUGUGAGGUUUUUCACGUGAUUUCUCUUGUGAGUUAUGCUAUAUUCCUUUUGAGGUGAUUUUGUACUUUAUGAUCCUCUUAUGUUACCAACAGUUGCCACAAAUUUAAAUUCGUGAUUUAAGGAGAAUUGCAAGUUCUACAAUUAACAUUUUUGAUGUAUGUACAUCCAUUUUGUAUUACUGGAUUAAUUCCUCCAUUAAAUGAUCCAAUGUAACUUCAUGUUCACG